rnacentral:rRNA from 1 species
CCUACGGGAGGCAGCAGUGAGGAAUAUUGGUCAAUGGACGAGAGUCUGAACCAGCCAAGUAGCGUGAAGGAUUACUGCCCUAUGGGUUGUAAACUUCUUUUAUAUGGGAAUAAAAUGUGCCACGUGUGGUAUUUUGUAUGUACCAUAUGAAUAAGGAUCGGCUAACUCCGUGCCAGCAGCCGCGGUAAUACGGAGGAUCCGAGCGUUAUCCGGAUUUAUUGGGUUUAAAGGGAGCGUAGGUGGAAUGUUAAGUCAGUUGUGAAAGUUUGCGGCUCAACCGUAAAAUUGCAGUUGAAACUGGCAGUCUUGAGUACAGUAGAGGUAGGCGGAAUGCGUGGUGUAGCGGUGAAAUGCUUAGAUAUCACGAAGAACUCCGAUUGCGAAGGCAGCAUACUGGACUGCAACUGACACUGAGGCUCGAAAGUGUGGGUAUCGAACAGGAUUAGAUACCCUUGUAGUC